AUUAGCGUUUUUGUGUCGAAAGUCGGAACCUCCGCCAAUUUUUGUCGGUGCGUUCUUACAAUACGCGAAGCGUAUUGUAACAAGUAGACGCUUCGCGUCUACUUUAGUCCGUGGGGACCAGUAGAAAUUUUAAAAAUUUUUGUCAGUACUACAAAAAAAAAAUCUCCAAAAUUAUCCAAGGAGUGCCCUAAACACGCAGUGGGGAAGAGACCUGCCGUAUCCUCAUAAGGCUCUGAGUUCAAACCUUAGCCUCGGCAUGGUGCUCUACCCAACUUUUUCUUUUUUUAGUACUUGGAAAACAUUAACAUCUAUAAUAAAUCCAAAAAUCUCAUCCAUUAUUCUGUAAGAGACCAACAUACAAAAUUGACGAAACACAAAGUCACGGUCUCACAACAUGUAAUUAAACGGGCUACACGUGUUUCGCUCUAGUUAGAGCAUCAUCAGGCCUUUAGAAGCCAUCCACACACUUAUGCUGUAACUGAUGAUGCUCUAACUAGAGCGAAACACGUGUAGCCCGUUUAAUUACAUGUUGUGAGACCGUGACUUUGUGUUUUUCUUUGUUUUUCGUCAAUCUAUAGUAAAUACAGAGAGAAAAGGAAAGGUCUUAUUAUAUAUUAUAAUCAAAAAUAAAUUUCAUUGAAAUAUUACUAACUUAUUUCUGGGUAUCAUGCUUCAGAGAACCAUGAUGUGUUACAAUACGCUCCGCUCUUUAAUUUUAGUUUAGUAGAAAAUAUUCUCAAAACCUACAUAUAUCAAAAUUAUGUCAGGGUUCUAAAAUGAAUCGGUAAUAAAAUCGUAAACCAGAUCAACAUUGGAAAUAAUUUAAAAAAUUUGCUUUGGUCCGAUUGAAAAAAGUACUAUACUACCAAAUAGUUACAUCUAUUCUGUAGCAAUAAAAGUUAUAAAAUUCUGUCUAUUAUUAAUUUUAAUAUUAUAAAGUGUAUCGUUUAACUCUUAGCCAUUAUUUAUAAUUUAAUUGUUAAUUAUGCCUAAAAAAACGAAUUAACAACUUUGGUAUUGUUUGGAAGGUAAACAGCUUAAUUCCUUUAUGUAAAGCCACCUUAACAUGUUUUUGCAUAAUUCUGACUCACGUUGGUUGCUAUCGGGCUUAAGCCAUAAAAAUCGAAGAAAAAAAGAAGAAGACGAAGAGACUUUCACUUGUCAUUUCAAUGUCACUUUCCGGCCCACAAGCAUAAACGCCACCGGCAACGGAAGUUCCCAAAAUCCAAACAAAUGUUGGAAGAUAUUUUUAAGUCUCCGCAUCUUUCUUACUUUCCUAUAUGAAAAUAAAAUGUAAGUAUCACAAUUACACACAUACAAGUUUUUUUUUUUAAUUCAGUUUCAUAAUUACCAAUUUUUAGUGAAUAAUCCUGAAAUUUAUGAAAAUACAUACAUUUUAAGGUUAUGUCAUAAUGUUUUGAUUGUUAUAUUUGAUUUUGUUUUUGUUAUUUUAGUGGACUACACCAACAAAGGUUAUGUGUUUUGCACCAGAUUGAAAGCAUCAUAGCGAAAAACGGACCUGUCAUAUCUUUAAAUUUUCAAAAGAGCCCCUGGAAAAAGAAAAAUGAAUAUCUUUGCCAAGGAAUAGGUACUAAGGCAAAUGGAUAAAAAACCUUCAGUCCAUGCAUUGGUAUGUAAUUGUUGACAAAAAUACAAUGAAUGGCCUCACUACUUUUCCACAUGCAAAGAGGUUAACCAAGGAGAAAUUAAAGAAAUUGUCAAAAACCUAGGUAAAUACAGAAUUGCUUAGUACAAACAUAUCUAUACCCAGUACAAGUUCGUCCACUUCUUUGAAGCAUGGUACUUCAAACAGAAACACUGUCAACAAUUUUGUAGAAGGUGAGCCGGUGUCAAAUUCCAGUAAGGGACAUGAUUUCAAUUUUGCACCAACAGCAGAGCUAAAAUUCAUUUUGCCGCAAAAAACUGGAGGAUGUGAAAGAAAAAAGUGCAGAAGUUAAAAUUAAGUUUUUCAUAUGAGCACAUAAAAAAUAAUCAUGACAAAGUUCAGUUGUAUACAGGUUUGACAUGUAAUAAAUAUUUUUGUAAUCUUA
rnacentral:lncRNA from 1 species